rnacentral:rRNA from 1 species
AGAGUUUGAUCAUGGCUCAGAUUGAACGCUGGCGGCAGGCCUAACACAUGCAAGUCGAACGGUAACAGGAAGAAGCUUGCUUCUUUGCUGACGAGUGGCGGACGGGUGAGUAAUGUCUGGGAAACUGCCUGAUGGAGGGGGAUAACUACUGGAAACGGUAGCUAAUACCGCAUAACGUCGCAAGACCAAAGAGGGGGACCUUCGGGCCUCUUGCCAUCGGAUGUGCCCAGAUGGGAUUAGCUAGUAGGUGGGGUAACGGCUCACCUAGGCGACGAUCCCUAGCUGGUCUGAGAGGAUGACCAGCCACACUGGAACUGAGACACGGUCCAGACUCCUACGGGAGGCAGCAGUGGGGAAUAUUGGACAAUGGGGGCAACCCUGAUCCAGCCAUGCCGCGUGUGUGAAGAAGGCCUUUUGGUUGUAAAGCACUUUAAGCGAGGAGGAGGCUUACCUGAUUAAUACUUAGGAUAAGUGGACGUUACUCGCAGAAUAAGCACCGGCUAACUCUGUGCCAGCAGCCGCGGUAAUACAGAGGGUGCAAGCGUUAAUCGGAUUUACUGGGCGUAAAGCGCGCGUAGGUGGCUAAUUAAGUCAAAUGUGAAAUCCCCGAGCUUAACUUGGGAAUUGCAUUCGAUACUGGUUAGCUAGAGUAUGGGAGAGGAUGGUAGAAUUCCAGGUGUAGCGGUGAAAUGCGUAGAGAUCUGGAGGAAUACCGAUGGCGAAGGCAGCCAUCUGGCCUAAUACUGACACUGAGGUGCGAAAGCAUGGGGAGCAAACAGGAUUAGAUACCCUGGUAGUCCAUGCCGUAAACGAUGUCUACUAGCCGUUGGUCUCUUUGAGGGUUUAGUGGCGCAGCUAACGCGAUAAGUAGACCGCCUGGGGAGUACGGUCGCAAGACUAAAACUCAAAUGAAUUGACGGGGGCCCGCACAAGCGGUGGAGCAUGUGGUUUAAUUCGAUGCAACGCGAAGAACCUUACCUGGCCUUGACAUACUAGAAACUUUCCAGAGAUGGAUUGGUGCCUUCGGGAAUCUAGAUACAGGUGCUGCAUGGCUGUCG